UAAAGAGUUGGCUUACAAUCGCCACUUCACACAAUGAACAUAUAAUAAAUCAUACAUCAUUCAGAGUACACACAUGGUCCGACUACGGACGAAGCCAAAAGAAAAGAAGAUAACCCAACUGCUAGAUCCCCGAUCGUCCCAACUGGGCUCCACUACUGAUCAACAUGAAACGAUAUAUAGCAACAACCAAGGUCUUCGUUGAGCUCCCAUCUGAGCUCGGUUGCAUCACCUGCACUGGUAUCAUCGGCACCUGCAACUGUUGUGAUAGUAUCUGGUGAGUCACAAGGACUCAACAAUCUCAAAACCCGUGAGAUCAAGACUAUUUAAGCUUAUGGGUAGGAAGGGGUAAAGUGGUGAGGUUGCAGCAGCGACUAAGAAUAUAUGGUGGCUAACAUACGCAAAUAAGAGCGAGAAGAGAGCAAACGGAACGGUCGUGAACUAGCAAUGAUCAAGAAGUGAUCCUGAACUCCUACUUACGUCAAACAUAACCCAAAACCGUGUUCACUUCCCGGACUCCGCGAAAAGAGACCAUCACGGCUACACACGCGGUUGAUGCGUUUUAAUUCGGAUCUAGUGUCAAGUUAUCUACAACCGGACAUUAACAAAUUCCCAUCUGCCUAUAACCACAGGCACGGCUUUCGAAAGAUUAUACCCUGCAGGGGUGUCCCAACUUAACCCAUGACAAGCUCUCGCGAUCAACGAAGGAAUAGACCUUCUCCCAGGAAGACCCGAUCAGACACGGAAUCCCGGUUUACAAGACAUUUCGACAAUGGUAAAACAAGACCAGCAAAGCCGCCCGAUGCGCCGACAAAUCCCGAUAGGAGCUGCACAUAUCUCGUUCUCAGGGCACACCGGAUGGGUCAGCCUACGAGUAAAACCAGCCCUCGAGUUGCCCCGAGGUGGCCCCGCAGUCUGCCCAUUUCGGACCAACACUCGAAGGAGCACUGGCCCGGGGGGGUUAAAAUAAAGAUGACCCUUGAGUCUGCAGAACCCAAGGGAAAAAGGCUUAGGUGGCAAAUGGUAAAACCAAAGUUGGGCCUUGCUGGAGGAGUUUUAUUCAAAGCGAACUAUCAAGGGGGUCCCAUAAAUCACCCAACCGCGUAAGGAACGCAAAAUCCGGGAACAUAACACCGGUAUGACGGAAGCUAGGGCGGCAAGAGUGGAACAAAACACCAGGCAUAAGGCCGAGUCUUCCACCCUUUACCAAGUAUAUAGAUGCAUUAAUUAAAUAAGAGAUAUUGUGAUAUCCCAAAAUAAUCCUGUCCAUCAUGAAGCAAUCUUCAACUUCACCUGCAACUAACAACGCUAUAAGAGGGGCUGAGCCAAAGCGGUAACAUAGCCAAACAACGGUUUGCUAGGAAGGGUGAAAAGGUUAGAGGCUGACAUGGCAAUAUGGGAGGCAUGGUAAACAAGUGAUAGGUAGCGCAGCAUAGCGAUAGAACGAAGCAACUAGCAAGCAAAGAUAGAAGUGAUAUCGAGGGUAAUGGUCAUCUUGCCAGAGAUUCCGCAAGGAAGAAGAACGAGUCCAUGAAGAAGACAAACAGACGUAGUCGAACGAAUCCUCACAACUCUGGAAUGAAACGGAAGCUAACGAGGGAAGCAAACCGGAAAGAAGCAAGCAACAUGGUAAACACACAAGCAUAAACAUGGCAUGAUGCACAAUCAAGUAUGAUGCAUGUCCGAUUUAAAUGAGGCAUGGCAUGGCAAAAUGCAACAAACAAUACUACAAAUUAAGUGGAGCUCAAUAUGCAACGGCUUGCAUAUUGACGAAACACCACAUUCAAGUUAUUUAGUUUGCUCUCGUUUAGGAACAAGGCAAGAUUAAAUGUUGGUUAGCAUGGCAAGAGGUGAAGCAUAAUUAAUCUAACUUUUUAGGCAAGUUCAAAUGAGGCCGGAAAUAACAACAACAAUUCCAGAAAAUCCUCAUGUGCAUAUUUUAGAUUUGGUACUGUUCUGCCCUAUAACAUAUUUUAGAGUUGUUAAACAUGCAAAGUAGUGCUACCAUGUUAAUCUAUGCAUUUUUCUACCCCAUUUGCAUAUAUAAUUUAUUUAAAUCCGAGCUACGGUUAUUUAGUUAUGAAAUAAAUUAUUUUAACAUGGCAUUUAUGCAAAUUAAUGCAAACAACAAGUUAAACAUUUUAAACAUGCAUGAAAGUUGGAUAUUGUGAAACUAGAUGAAAAUCUAAGCAUUUUACAUAUGUAAGAUGUCUCAUUUAGAUGCAUGGUUCAAUAGUUAUUAGCAGUUUAAAAUAGGGACAGUUCUGCAAAUAUGCAAUGCUCUGGGAAUUUAACAAAUCGCUGACAACAGAAAAAAACGAACGGGCCGAAUCUGAGCGCUCUGGGCUGGGGGAGCUGCUCACCAUGGGCCAAGCCCAGAUCGAUGGAGAGGCAGAGCUUUGAGGCUCCUGGCCCAG
rnacentral:lncRNA from 1 species